rnacentral:rRNA from 1 species
UACGGGGGGGAGCAAGCGUUGUUCGGAUUUACUGGGCGUAAAGGGCGCGUAGGCGGUCAGCACAAGUCAGUUGUGAAAUCUCCGGGCUUAACUCGGAAAGGUCAACUGAUACUGUGCGACUAGAGUGCAGAAGGGGCAACUGGAAUUCUCGGUGUAGCGGGUGAAAUGCGUAGAUAUCGAGAGGAACACCUGCGGCGAAGGCGGGUUGCUGGGCUGACACUGACGCUGAUGCGCGAAAGCCAGGGGAGCGAACGGG